UGAGGUACUUGGGUAGUCAAAUUCACAGAAACAGAAAGUAAAGUAGUGGUUACCAGGGACUGGGGGAGGAUAGAAAGGGGAGUUGGUGCUUAACGGGUAUAGAAUUUCAGUUUAGGAAGAUGAGAAAUUUUUAGAGUACUGAUGAUAGUUGCACAAGAAUGUAAAUGUUCUUAAUGCCAUUGAAUUGUAUACUUUAAAAUGAUUAAAAUGCUAAGUUUUAUGUAAUCUUUAUUUUUGUUACAAUUUUUUACAAGAGAGUGGGUCCUCAAUAUGUAAAUAUGAUGUAAAUUAAAAAAUAACAACAACAAAAAGAACACAGGGCAGCUCUUUAGUUUGCAGAUGACCCUUAAUUUGGGUUUCUCAGCUGUUUCCUUAUGAUCCCAGUUAGGGUAUACAUUUUUGUCACAGAUACCCCAGGAGUAAUAAUGUCCUGUUUUUCCCAGGGUCCCAUAUUAAGAGGCAUAUGAUAUUGGUUUCUCUGUUAUUGGUGAUAUUAACAUCAGCCCUUUGGAUCAUAUGAUGUCUCUUAGAUAUAUCUCCUAAAAACUUUCCCACUGUAAUUAAUAAGUAGUUUGGGGGUGGGAGAAAUGGUUUUAGACUUUUAAAAUACCUGUUUGCCUUCAAUCCUUCAUUCACUAGUUUUACCAUUCAUUGAUGAUUUUUGUCUGAGUCAAUUUAUGAUUAUUAUGAGUAUCAAAUGAUGGCUUUCUAACUCCAUCACACUUAUAUUUAUGGGUUGACAUUCUAUUUCCUUUCCUAUACAGAUUCAUUUAAUUAUUUAUUUUCAUAUAGCAUAAUGGAUUCAUGUUUUAUUCAAUGGAUUACAAUCAAUUACUUUCAUUAUUUGUUUUGAUGCUCAAAUUGUAUCAUAUUUAUUCACUGGGAAUCCCUUCAUGCUGGGCCCUGUAUCCUGUUGACAUAAAUCCAUUGGCACCAGAAGUUAUUCCAGGUUCACCUUAGUUGUCUUGCCCCAGUCCUAGAGCCACCCACUUUUCCACAGUGCAAUCAUUCCUUUUUUUGGAGAACAGUACUUAGAAACACAGUUCUAGGUGAUUAUGGCUUCUGGGCCUUCUAAAUAGACAAUAUGGAUAGAACUAGGAAAAAAAAUACACACAUGCACACACACACAUGUAUAUAUAAUUAUCUUUUAAAAGCCAAGAAUUUGUUAGUCCUUCCUAAAAAUUAUGUUCAUCCCAACAGGAUACAUUAUCUAGGUUAAAUUUUCCCUGCCUGUCUGAUAUCGCUUAUUAUUACUAGUUAUCUUUUAUCUGUCUAUUAAGCUGUGAGAUCCUUCAGAAGAGAGACUUCAUAUUUUUUGUCAUCUUUGUAUCCCCAUUGCCUAGGAAAAUAUCUGGUACAGAUUAGAUACUAAUAUUAAUUCCUAGGAUUGUUGGGUGAAAUGAUGGUUGGAUGAAAUGAUGGUUAUUUAGGAUCAUUGGGUAGGAGGAUUGUUGGGUAGAAUGGAGAUUGGGUGGAAGUGUAGUCAGAUGGGAGGAUGGUUGGUUAGGAUCUUUGGGUAGGAGGAUGGUUGGGUAGAAUGGAGUUUGGGUAGAAGUAUAGUUGGAUGGAAGAAUGGUUGUCAUGCAAGAGGAUUUGGGUUAGGGGAUGGUUGCAUGAGAGGAGUUGUUAAAUGGAAGAAUUACUAAGAUAAAGGAUUAUAUGGGAAGACGCUUUUGUGGGAGGUGAUCUGCAUGUCUUAUUUAGCAAUGUAUGCCUUUUUUGUUAUACUUGUGUACUCACUGCAUUCAGGAAUUGUUUAAGAAAUUAUUUUGGUUCCAUUUGGUCUUUCAGAUAGUAGGUGUUCAUUCAGUAUCUAUUGAUUGUCUGAAUAUGACUUUCAGGAAUAGCAAUGGAUGAUUUAUCUUUGGAUUCUUGGCAUUCUCCAUAGUGCUCAGCUUGGCAUAAAUACAUAUUUAAUAUUCAUUUUGACAGUAAGUCAGAUAAAAAACCACAGCAACAUAAUAUCUCCCCUAUUUAGCUUAUCAAGAAAACUAAGGCUAUGUAUUAGUUCCUUCAAUACUGAGUGUAGACUUGAUUCAUUCUCUCUGGAUAUGUAGUUGCUCCCAAAGUAUUCAAGUAGUGGUCACUACUUGGCAAGUAUUUCAAGAAUGGAGGGCAUUGUUUAGCUUUGUAAUUAUUCAUUGGCUCAUGUAAUCAGGAAACAAACUUUCACGUUGGAAGAAGGGUUACACCACACAAUCUGGGACCAUUUCAUUAUCAGGCAAUUGAGGCUAGAAAUAAUUCUCCUAGGGGUGGCUAGAUGUUCUGAAUACCUAUUUUAUCCAUUUCUGUUUUCUCAUACUAACGAAAUAAGUAGUGAAUUCUUCUCACAUUGAUAUUGAGAAAGGAAAGGAAACCCAAUAUUUUGGGCUAUUUUGCUUUUUGAUUUUUGGAUCUGCUAUGUGUUCUGGUGUCUGAAGAGAAAAUUUUCAUCUUUGAACCUUAGAAGUGAAGAUAAGUGCUGUGUAAUGUAUGUAAGAACAAGAAGAGACAGUGCUCUAGCCGAAAAUGUCUUUUUUCCCAGUAGUUUACAUCCUGGCCAAGUGUUCUUGUGCAAAGCAACCAAGUAACUUUUUCCCAUCCAGCUAUAAGAACGAAGAGACUGUUAUUGCUACCGGCUGGUAUUGAGUAAUCGUACAUAGGUGGGGUGGGUUGAAGGCAAUCUGAAUUAUAAAACGCCUUCCUUUGAAGUGAAAUCAAUUUUUAUUCUUAAUCUGUGAACAUGAGAUGGGAACAAAUAACUUCUGAGUGAAAUAAAGAUUUCUUAGCCUGUCAAGAUUUAUCUUAUCAAGCUGAAGAGGUGGGAUUCCUGUUAGCAACUGGCAGUUUUAAAAAUCCAUUCGCCUGAGGAAGUGUGAAAACAGUCUGCAGAACAAAGACACUGAGCUGUUGCUGCAUUGAGUGCUGAUUUGCUCCUUUUUUUACAUUUCCUGCUUGAGACCUCGCCAGGUCCAACUUUAAAACAUUUGCAGGCUAAUGGGAGUAUGUGCACAGGGAGUAUCAGAAAUCAUUUCCUUAGGGGAGGAGGUGUUUUGUGGUGCAAAAUGUUGAGGUUCUGUUGCCAAAACACCAACUGAAAUAGGGUAUUUUCUGUGAACUUCAUGGGUGGCUUUCAGAGGGAAUUCUCCAUGUCAUUCUCUGAUGUCUCUUAUUGGUCCUUGUUUUGCCAGAGUGGAAGAAAAAAAAAA